rnacentral:rRNA from 1 species
UACGAAGGGGGCUAGCGUUGCUCGGAAUGACUGGGCGUAAAGGGCGCGUAGGCGGAGUGCUUUGUCAGGCGUGAAAUUCCAGGGCUUAACCUUGGGGCUGCGUUUGAGACGGGCAUUCUUGAGUAUGGAAGAGGGUCGUGGAAUUCCCAGUGUAGAGGUGAAAUUCGUAGAUAUUGGGAAGAACACCGGUGGCGAAGGCGGCGGCCUGGUCCAUGACUGACGCUGAGGCGCGAAAGCGUGGGGAGCAAACAGG